rnacentral:rRNA from 1 species
GAUGAACGCUAGCUACAGGCUUAACACAUGCAAGUCGAGGGGCAGCAUGACGGAAGCUUGCUUUCGUUGAUGGCGACCGGCGCACGGGUGAGUAACGCGUAUCCAACCUGCCCUUGUCCAUCGGAUAACCCGUCGAAAGGCGGACUAACACGAUAUGCAGUUCUCAGCAGGCAUCUAACGAGAACGAAAUGUGAAGGAGAAGGGAUGGGGGAUGCGUCUGAUUAGCUUGUUGGCGGGGUAACGGCCCACCAAGGGCGACGAUCAGUAGGGGUUCUGAGNGGAAGGUCCCCCCACAUUGGGAAACUGAGCACGGUCCAAAACUCCUACGGGGAGGCAGCAGUGAGGAAUAUUGGGUCAAUGGGCGAGAG